rnacentral:misc_RNA from 1 species
GUGAAUCAUCGAAUUUUUGAACGCAAAUUGCGCUUCCUGGUAUCCCGGGAAGUAUGCCUGUUUGAGGGUCAGUAGUAACAAAAAAUCGGUUUGGUUGCAAAUUGUUACGUUUCCGGGGUUUGGGCUUAUCUUAACUUUUUUGGUUAAGAGUCUUAAAAUUGACGUUUUUUGCGCAUUUUGAUACGUACAUAAAUUUUUUUUUUAUUCGUGUAUUCUUAAUGACAAGAUCUGAUUAGAUGCUAUCACU